rnacentral:rRNA from 1 species
CAGUCGCCACGGGAAUACGUAGGUGGCAAGCGUUGUCCGGAAUUAUUGGGCGUAAAGGGCUCGCAGGCGGUUUCUUAAGUCUGAUGUGAAAGCCCCCGGCUCAACCGGGGAGGGUCAUUGGAAACUGGGAAACUUGAGUGCAGAAGAGGAGAGUGGAAUUCCACGUGUAGCGGUGAAAUGCGUAGAGAUGUGGAGGAACACUAGUGGCGAAGGCGACUCUCUGGUCUGUAACUGACGCUGAGGAGCGAAAGCGUGGGGAGCGAACAGGAUUAGAUACCCCUGUAGUCCCUGUCUCUUAUAC